AGAACCUGAAUACUCUGGAGAUGAGACUUAAGGCAAGAAUGGAAGCGGAGACAUGAAGCUACUACGGGUCAAGUCACGGAACUAACAAGAAGUGGAGCUAGAGUUGGAACACAAGUCCUUCUGAUGCCAAAGCCUAUCUACAUCAACAUGUCCUCAGGUUUGGCUGUUCCCUCUCCUAGGCAAAAAUGUCCAGUAGUUAGUGAUAACAUUGAUGAGGCAACAGGUUUCUGCUUUACAGGUGAGGAAAUUGAGGCAUAUAGCAAUUCACUUGUUCAGUGUACUGUAUCGUUUGAAGAAAUAUGACAUUUGGAAAAAAAAAAGUGACUUCAAAGCAGAACUGAAAGACUGUUGCUUUUAAGUGCUCCUCUGUAGAGCAGUAAAUGGAAGUAUAAGAAGAGAAGAGAGAUGUGACAGUGUGACCUGUGCCUUUCUUCCCAAAAGAAUAGAACUUUCCCCUGUGCCUUUUGACCACAGUUACUCUUUCAUACCUUGUAAGCGUUUUUUUCCUGAUGUUUUUUCUGUCCCUGUUCCUUAAUUCCUCAGAAAUAGCAACUUGGUUAUCUUUUGCAUGGUAUCCCAAAUAGUGUUGUGAAUAGAUGAAUGCUUAAUGAAGUUAGGGUAGUGGGCAAGAGUAUUUCUAAGAAGUCUUGGAGAGGUGAUUUCUGUCCCUUACCCUCUAGCUGUUAUGCUUUAGAACUUCUGAGCCUUUUAUGCUUCUAAGAGCAUAAAUCAAGGAGUUUUUUUUGAGAACCAAACAAGCUUUUUUUUUUUUGUUUUGCGGUACGCGGGCCUCUCACUCUUGUGGCCUCUCCCGUUGCGGAGCACAGGCUCCGGAUGCGCAGGCUUAGCGGCCAUGGCUCACGGGCCCAGCCGCUCCGCGGCAUGUGGGAUCCUCCCGGACCGGGGCACGAACCCGCGUCCCCUGCAUCGGCAGGCGGACCCUCAACCACUGUGCCACCAGGGAAGCCCACCCAAGAUAUUUUUUUAAAAAGGUAAAUAGUUGUUUUAAAAUAGGUAGUAUAUGACAUGUUACAGAGUUAAGAAAUUAACUGUGCGUAUGUUGAAUAUGUCCUUGCUGUUUCUGUCCCCUUCCCUAGAAACACCUGUUAUCAGUUUCUUUCUGUUCUUCCAAAGAUAUUCUAUAUCAAUGCUGUCUGAUAGAACAUUCCGUGAGGGUAGAGAUGUAUUAUAGCUAGCUGCCUAAUAUGGUAGCCACUAGCCAUGUAGCUCUCAAGCCCUUAAAGUGUGGGUGGUAUGACUGAAGAACUAAAUGUUUAAAUUUAAUUUUAAAUAGUUUAAGUAGCUGCAUGUGGCCAAUGCUACUAUAUUAGACAGUGCAGUAUACAUACUUAAUAGUAUAUUCUAGAGAUCGUUCCAUUGCAUACUUAUACAUAUAAAGCUGCCUCAUUUUCUUUAAAUGAUUGUUGCUAUUCCUUUUUAUGGAUGAACCAUGAUUUAUUUAACCAGUCCUCUGUCAAUAAUGCCUAGGUUGUUUCCUAUCUUAAUGUUUUCACAAGGAUAUUUACUGCAACAUUGGCAGCUUUGAAUUUAGGCUUCACCACUUAACCUUGAUCACCUUGGACACAUUGGUUGACUUUGAGCACAGCUUCCUCAUUUAUACAGUAGGUGCAGUAGUAUCCACUUCGUGGGAUUAUGUGAUUAUUAGAAGUAAUUUAUGUAAAAGACGCAAGAAUGGUCUAGGAGCUCAUGUUAGGUGUAGUAGAUAAUAGCUUUACUGUUACUUAUUUUUUUAAUAAUGAGACCAUAACAACCCCAUUGGCUGAUGUUUAGUGUUGAAUUGUGGCAGAAAAUUGAGAAAGCUUUGCUUAGCCCAUUUUAGGUUUGUAAGUAUAGACAGUCUCUACCUUUUAUUCACUUGACUUCUCUGAAUUGUACAUAGCCAUCUGUAGAUUACUUUUCAUAUGCUAAUUUAGAACUUUUGUAUAUCAACUGGCAAAAUUGUACAUUUAAAGUUCUUAUAUGGUGCCUUGCCUGUCAGCCAAUGGUUAAAUUUAAGCAAGAUCACUGUAUUAAUACAACAUUGCUUGUGUUUGGAUAUUUUAUGGUAUAUUUGAAUAUUGGUGGAAAACAGGAAAAUAAAGAUGCUUAUACUAUUUAGAAGCAGCCAUAAAAUUAUAUGGAUUAUGGAAGUAUAUUAUGAGUUUAGAUAUCAUUUUUUUCUUUAGUAUUUUCAGUGAUGUUGCUUAUAAAUAAAACCCUUAGAAUUUUAUUGAAAAAGUAAACUUUUUGCAUUGUGAUUCCUUGACCACAGGUGAUUUUUUCAUUCUUAAUACUCUGGCAACUAUUAAUAAACUUGUUUUAAGUUUUCCUUGACUUCACUCUUCAUAAACAUUAAGAUCUGCUAACAACACCUUUGCACUUCAUAUGAAUGGUUUUCUUAUUCAAUGGUAUUUAAAGAAAAGUUAGAUUAAUUUUUUAAAGGCAGUAAUCAAAAUUUUCACAAAUAUACAGAUUAAGAACCAAUUUCAAGCAUGUUCUAUGUCUGUGUAUACUACGAAGGAAAUGUGCUGGCGGGUUUUUGUUGUUUUUAAUCUGAGUACCUAAAUGGCAUGUUUGUGAGUGAAACUCAGUUAAAGGAAAAACAAAGUAUUAGCCUUUUUCUAUCUAAAUUUAGUAUUUAUUUCUAAAGCAUAUAUAUAUUAUAUUGAAAUUAGAAUUGCUAGUUUUUGAUAGACAUCAGCAAUUUAAGUAUUAAAAGUUUAUCGUUAAAAGUAGUAGGUGGAGUGGUAGCAGCUGUGUGCCAGGCACUGUAUUAUUUGCAGUACAUAUGUUGAUACCAUUUAAUCCUCAUAGUAACCAGUACUGUGGGUAUGAUUAGCCCCAUUUCACAACAGAAAGUGAGCCUUAGCUUUAAGCUGUGUAGUGAGGAUUCAACCUCACAUUUAGUUUUUCUGAUUCUGAAAUAUCUAUGCUGUUUACAAUAUUUUAGUUUGGGAGGGAGUUUUAUCAAAUUGUUGAUAAGCAUCAUCUUCCUUAUAUACUGACUUGAUAGGAAUUGCCCAGUGCAAAUGGUUAUUCUUUGCUCAUGGUGAUGGUCUCAGGGCUGCCUCUGCAGAUGAUUUUGAGCAGUAAGUAAUAAUAUUUUUCAGUGUGUAAACAGUAAGGUACAUUUGUGUUAAUUGAAAUGAUGCACUGAAUCAA